GCGUGAGUGAUGAAGGCCUUCGGGUCGUAAAGCUCUUUUACCAGGGAUGAUAAUGACAGUACCUGGAGAAUAAGCUCCGGCUAACUCCGUGCCAGCAGCCGCGGUAAUACGGAGGGAGCUAGCGUUGUUCGGAAUUACUGGGCGUAAAGAGUACGUAGGCGGCUAUUCAAGUCAGAGGUGAAAGCCCGGGGCUCAACCCCGGAACUGCCUUUGAAACUAGGUAGCUAGAGUCUUGGAGAGGUUAGUGGAAUUCCGAGUGUAGAGGUGAAAUUCGU
rnacentral:rRNA from 1 species